AGCUUUGCACAGUGGCAAUAUCGUAGCCAAUAAGGUUUAUCCAAGGCGCAAUUAUUGCUAAUUGAACACUGUAUCAUGGGAUAUAUCUAGAAAAGUGUUAUAUUAUCAAUGUCCUCUUCCUCUUCUAAAGGUAACUCAUGUUG